rnacentral:rRNA from 1 species
ACAAUGAAGAGUUUGAUCCUGGCUCAGGAUGAACGCUAGCUACAGGCUUAACACAUGCAAGUCGAGGGGCAGCAUUUUAGUUUGCUUGCAAACUAAAGAUGGCGACCGGCGCACGGGUGAGUAACACGUAUCCAACCUGCCGAUAACUCGGGGAUAGCCUUUCGAAAGAAAGAUUAAUAUCCGAUAGUAUAUUAAAACCGCAUGGUUUUACUAUUAAAGAAUUUCGGUUAUCGAUGGGGAUGCGUUCCAUUAGUUUGUUGGCGGGGUAACGGCCCACCAAGACUACGAUGGAUAGGGGUUCUGAGAGGAAGGUCCCCCACAUUGGAACUGAGACACGGUCCAAACUCCUACGGGAGGCAGCAGUGAGGAAUAUUGGUCAAUGGACGAGAGUCUGAACCAGCCAAGUAGCGUGAAGGAUGACUGCCCUAUGGGUUGUAAACUUCUUUUAUAUGGGAAUAAAGUAUUCCACGUGUGGGAUUUUGUAUGUACCAUAUGAAUAAGGAUCGGCUAACUCCGUGCCAGCAGCCGCGGUAAUACGGAGGAUCCGAGCGUUAUCCGGAUUUAUUGGGUUUAAAGGGAGCGUAGGUGGAUUGUUAAGUCAGUUGUGAAAGUUUGCGGCUCAACCGUAAAAUUGCAGUUGAAACUGGCAGUCUUGAGUACAGUAGAGGUGGGCGGAAUUCGUGGUGUAGCGGUGAAAUGCUUAGAUAUCACGAAGAACUCCGAUUGCGAAGGCAGCUCACUAGACUGCAACUGACACUGAUGCUCGAAAGUGUGGGUAUCAAACAGGAUUAGAUACCCUGGUAGUCCACACAGUAAACGAUGAAUACUCGCUGUUUGCGAUAUACAGUAAGCGGCCAAGCGAAAGCAUUAAGUAUUCCACCUGGGGAGUACGCCGGCAACGGUGAAACUCAAAGGAAUUGACGGGGCCCGCACAAGCGGAGGAACAUGUGGUUUAAUUCGAUGAUACGCGAGGAACCUUACCCGGCUUAAAUUGCAUUUGAAUAAUCUGGAAACAGGUUAGCCGCAAGGCAAAUGUGAAGGUGCUGCAUGGUUGUCGUCAGCUCGUGCCGUGAGGUGUCGGCUUAAGUGCCAUAACGAGCGCAACCCUUAUCUUUAGUUACUAACAGGUCAUGCUGAGGACUCUAGAGAGACUGCCGUCGUAAGAUGUGAGGAAGGUGGGGAUGACGUCAAAUCAGCACGGCCCUUACGUCCGGGGCUACACACGUGUUACAAUGGGGGGUACAGAAGGCAGCUACCUGGCGACAGGAUGCUAAUCCCAAAAACCUCUCUCAGUUCGGAUCGAAGUCUGCAACCCGACUUCGUGAAGCUGGAUUCGCUAGUAAUCGCGCAUCAGCCAUGGCGCGGUGAAUACGUUCCCGGGCCUUGUACACACCGCCCGUCAAGCCAUGAAAGCCGGGGGUACCUGAAGUACGUAACCGCAAGGAGCGUCCUAGGGUAAAACUGGUAAUUGGGGCUAAGUCGUAACAAGGUAGCCGUACCGGAAGGUGCGGCUGGAACACCUCCUUU